rnacentral:rRNA from 1 species
AUGAACGCUGGCGGCGUGCCUAAUACAUGCAAGUCGAGCGAACAGAUGAGGAGCUUGCUCCUCUGACGUUAGCGGCGGACGGGUGAGUAACACGUGGAUAACCUACCUAUAAGACUGGGAUAACUUCGGGAAACCGGAGCUAAUACCGGAUAAUAUAUUGAACCGCAUGGUUCAAUAGUGAAAGACGGUUUUGCUGUCACUUAUAGAUGGAUCCGCGCCGCAUUAGCUAGUUGGUAAGGUAACGGCUUACCAAGGCAACGAUGCGUAGCCGACCUGAGAGGGUGAUCGGCCACACUGGAACUGAGACACGGUCCAGACUCCUACGGGAGGCAGCAGUAGGGAAUCUUCCGCAAAGGGCGGAAGCCUGACGGAGCAACGCCGCGUGAGUGAUGAAGGUCUUCGGAUCGUAAAACUCUGUUAUUAGGGAAGAACAAAUGUGUAAGUAACUAUGCACGUCUUGACGGUACCUAAUCAGAAAGCCACGGCUAACUACGUG